AAAACAUGUCUAUAUGAUUGUUAUAUAAANUCUAGCCUGCCCACUGAUUUGUUUUAAAGGGCCGCGGUAUAUUGACCGUGCGAAGGUAGCAUAAUCAUUAGUCUUUUAAUUGGAGGCUUGUAUGAAUGGUUGGACAAAAGUAAGCUGUCUCGGUUAUAAUAAUUGAACUUAACUUUUAAGUGAAAAGGCUUAAAUGUUUCAGGGGGACGAUAAGACCCUAUAAAGCUUGACAAUAAUUUCGUUAUAUUAUAAAUUGUUAGUAUAACUUGAUUUUAACGGGAGUUUGUUUCGUUGGGGCGACGGGAAUAUAAUAAAUAACUGUUCUUUUAAAUAUAAUUACAAAAAUACUUGGUAAACAAUUGAUCCUCUAUUAGAGAUUAAAAGAUUAAGUUACUUUAGGGAUAACAGCGUAAUCUUCUUUGAGAGUCCACAUCGACAAGAAGGUUUGCGACCUCGAUGUUGAAUUAAGGUAUCCUUAUAAUGCAGCAGUUAUAAAGGAGGGUCUGUUCGACCUUUAAAUCCUUACAUGAUCUGAU
rnacentral:rRNA from 1 species